rnacentral:lncRNA from 1 species
CUCGGCGGAGAACAUCGCUCCCAUGAAACGCCUGGCCCAGAGGUGCAAAAUACCCGUCUUCUCUGCAGAUCUCAACAAGUAUUUGUUGGGUGUCUUCUGGAUUCUGCGUUAGAGAAUGGUGGUGGCAAGAAACCAUCAGAGAAAGGAGAGGAAUGUAAUCUAGAGUUAGGUUCUAAUGUUACAAAUAAAAAACAUUCCUUUAAACUAGAUGUUUUUUGGGUAAAAUUUGGAAGGUUAGAAAAAAGAGGGGAUGCGGGUGUUGCUUCAUGAAGGGCCUUGUGGGCCAUGUUAAGGAAUUUAGACUUUAUCCUAUAGCAACAGGAAGCCAUUAAACAUGGUCAGAGGCAUGGGGGCUGGGGGGCAGUGAUGGAGAUCUGUGCUUGGGAAAGAGGACACUGGCGACUUGUCGAGGAUUAGCCUGCAAGCAAGGAGCUAAAUGAGGAGGCCAUUAUGCUUGCCCAGGAAAUCAAUGAGCUCAGACUAUUUCAGUGAGGAUGCUGAUUAAACGGGGGUCCAGAGAACAUGAGGAGGGGGUAUGGAUAAAUAUCUGGGGACAGGCAGGGGGCAGCACUUAUGAGUCAGGACUGACAAUAUGACUUAAAUGGGUCUUAAACAAAUUACAUGAUAGGCUAAUCUCAGGGGUGAAGUUGGACACUUCUUUCUUUAAUCCUUACUUCUCAAGGUAUUUUAACUGAAAGAUAGCUAAUUUCUGAUUUGUAUGCAUGGAACACUGGUCUGAUUUUUAUUUGUUUGAAUGACAGUAUUAUUUGGAACUUUUCAUCUCUAUUCUUCAGGUUUCAGGAAACCCAUCCUGGUUUACCCUUCCUGACACCUCCAUUCACCUGGGGCAGUGACCAGAGUAGGGGUGGAGGCCACCUCUGGAAUCAAGAGUGGAAACAAAACUCCUUUUUUUCCCCAAAACCUUAAAUCCUUUAUCAUUUUACAGAUGAACCGAACCUUGUUCUAUCAAUUUUGGCAAAAAAAUAACACAGCUUACUUAAAUAGAGUUAAUGUUAGGAUCUCAAAACUUUAAGUUACUACAUUCUUAUUCCCUCAUAAAGGCUCACAGUAUAAUAUUGUGUUCACAAAGAUUGUCUAUGUACCCCUGAUGAAGGUAAUACAUAGACAAAUGUGGUUUUUUUCUUUUUAAAGAUUAUGCAAUUCUUUAUUAUCUCUUUUCUAUUUAUAGUAAGUUAUGUUUUCAUUUAUAAUAGUGAUAGGAAAUUUCCUUUUAUUUUUUACUUUUUUGAGGAAGAUUAGCCCUGAGCUA